rnacentral:ncRNA from 1 species
GAGAAGUUUGGCGAUGUAGGGGAUCAGCGGCAAAUUGAGGAUCAACAGCACGACAUUGCCAACAUACAUCGAAAUAAUGACUGCCCAAAAGAUUGUCGGGUUGUCGACCAUCAUUCUUGGGCC